GAUGAAAUGCAGACAUAUGAUUUUCUGGCUUUGUGUAUUUGGAGCAAAAUUCUCAUUUGCCUAUUUCCUCCAGGAAAGUAAAAGCAUAUACCAAUUGCUAACUGGUCGAUGAUGGUUCUUCUGUUUAUGUUUCAUCUUUCUGACUGUUUCCUUUCCAACAUAUGCAGAUAAGGCCAUUGGUCAAUCCUACAAAAGUUAUUAUAAAUCUUAAUGGGCUAGAGUAUUCGUGGCAUGAUCUUGUAUCAAAACAUAACCAUAAUGCUUUGACAGUUGCAAGUUUAUGAGGCCCAGUUAUUGCGGUAAGGCAUGUUUAUGAUAUUAAGAGUCACUGGUUCCUUGUGUACAUAUAAGGCAUCGAGGUUGAACUUGAUUGCUUUCGGAACAAAUGACUCGUCUAGAUGAACUUUGAUUCCUUUGCAUGUUGCAUUCCUAAAACUCUGGACAUUACUUGAAAAGAAGGAAUAUUCAGAUGGCCUUCCUCCAGUAAUGUGUCAUGGUGCUUGUGUUCAAGUUUUUGGAUAUUGUGUUGAAGGUUUUGGAAUAUCUGUCAUGUAAUUUCACAUGUUUCGAUUCAACUUAAUGUGUUGCUGCAUACACCUUUACUUGUGGAUACAUGAUUGAGGGUGAGGUUUCAGGGCAAGCAGAUGCAUGGACAGGUAAGUGUGUCCUUGGAAAUGUCGUGUACACGUGUUUUGCUAUUGGGCAUGGCCAGGUGUAGCACAGAUCUGGCAAGCAGCUGCAGCAUGGUUGCAAGGUUAAAGCAGCUACUAUAGGUGGUCAUAGCCAAUGUGCAGUCUCCUGGAUUGUGCGUGUUGGAGGGUGGCAGCUGUGGGCUGCCUCUUGGUUGUCGAUGUUUAGUGGAGAGGCUUUUCCUAAUCCAGAAUCUCACACUGCUACGCUGUGGUUGCAGGUUGAAGACCUACUCGUUCAAUGGCUGGACUGGCCACCGUUAGUGGGGAUUGACAUAGAAAUAAAGGAAUAGAUUGUUAGAAAUCAUCACUAGAUUAAGAGAAGGACAAUUUCAAUUUGUUCAUUUUAUUAAGAAUAGCCUCCAAAGGGUGGGUUUACAUUGUUUGUUUAUACUGGAAGAAGGAUAUUUGACAAUUCAAGAUGAAGCAAGAAAAAUCUUAAAGGAUGCCUUCCGCCUCAGGUGCAGGUAUCUUCUUUGGUGUGCUAUUGUCACUGGCCCUUUGAGAGAGAUGGUUCUAGCCCGUCAAAUAGUCAGUCUAGUAUUUGGAGCACAGACUAUAUGGAAUAGAUUAAGAAAUAUUUAAACUAUGAUUCAUACCUACUAUUCAUACCUCGUGAUCGGCCUCCAACUGCUAUUGUUUUUUUCAAUUAACUUUUCAAUGAGGCAUUUCAGAAAUCGAGCCACCUUUUCCCUUCAGAAUCACGCUUAGUUUUGCUUAGUUUGAGCUGUGCGAGGGAUAGGACAAGUAUUUCUAUGGAUUCUUAGUUAUUAUAUAGUGUUGUAUCUUGUUACGAACCUGCCAUAGCCCCAGCCGAGAGCAGUCAACAGAGUGGUCGAGACUGAUCGGGGUAACGCCAAAAGAGCACAGCCAGGGCCUAGACCACGUCAAGGCUGGGCGAAAGCCAACGGCUGAGCAAGAGGAGCUAGGGCCAAAGGAGGUCGCGGCCGUAGAGGAUCGACAACUGAAGGAAGAAGGUCCACGCUAGAUUGAGAACACCAUGUGUGGUUCGACAGGGCAUGGCCGAACCAAGGAAGGAGAGGCUGCCAUAGGGCGUGCAGCCAACGAAGGGCGCCAACCCAAGGAAAGAGGCGCCAGCCCAACUCAGGAAGAGGUAGAGUGCCAGGUCAAGGAAGGCCGUCUGGGAGAGGUUAACAGCAGACAACGGGACCCAGCGGUUAGCCACGAAGCAAGGUGACCACGAAGCAAGGUUCUCACCUACCGACCAAGACAUGACCACACCAGGAGGCGUAGAGCAGACAGACAGAGGAAAUAACAUGCAACCAAAGGUUGGCCACGACAGUAGGCACUCAGGCAAGGGCGCAUACAGCAACCCACAGAGAGGCCAAUCACGAGACACAGAAGACAUCGCCAAUCCAGCAUGGUCAGUGGCAGACUUCAGCAGCGUUAGAGGUUGGAACACGGACAGAGGAGGACCAAGCCUAGAUGAGCCAGUGGAACACAGCCCCAAGCCGAGUCCAAACCCGAGUCCGUCUAGGGAGUCUAGGAUCGAGUCUUAAGUAACGUCAUGUCUUAUUUAGUCCUAGUCAGUUUAGCGCCAAUCGUCUUUAAGUCGAGUUGAGUCCUUAGACAAUCCGCCUAGGUAGUGUCUUCCUAUUUCGGUUCGGGUGAGCAUUUAGAUUAGUCGGUCCGGUUUGCUUAAUUGGAGUCGGGUCACAUGUUCGUUCGGGUCUCGGAUCACUGUUUGAUCUGGUUGCACUUUACUAUUUAAACUCUUGUACACCCCAUUUGCGGGAUUAUGCUUUGUUAAUGAAAUAGAAUUUGGAGUUUAUCUCUCUUUUCCCCACCCGCGUGGUGUGUACUUUCCUGCCAUGGAGGCGUGUAAUCCCCGCCGUGGAGGCGUGUAAUCCCCACCGUGUAGGUGUGUGAUUCCCCGCCGUGAAGGUGGUGUACGAAGCUCUCAGCUCGUGUGAUUCUGGCUGGGAAGAAGAAGAUGCAAUCGACGGAGGUGGUGGUUGCUGGAAAAUCACCAUUGAAGCCGACGACCAAUGCAUCUUUCCCCGACGCGUUAGCAAGCUCUCCACGGUGCAGCCCCCUUGAACACGAAGGUGGUUAGAGGCCGGUUGAGUCUCGGGCAGACGUGGAGAAGAGUGGGCUAU